CACGAACCGUACGAACGUUAUUCGGAAUUACUGGGCUUAAAGGGUUUGUAGGCGGCCUUGUAAGUCAGGUGUGAAAUCCCUCGGCUCAACCGAGGAAUGGCGCUUGAUACUGCACGGCUUGAGGGAGACAGGGGUAAGCGGAACUGAUGGUGGAGCGGUGAAAUGCGUUGAUAUCAUCAGGAACACCGGUGGCGAAAGCGGCUUACUGGGUCUCUUCUGACGCUGAGGAGCGAAAGCGUGGGGAGCGAACAGG
rnacentral:rRNA from 1 species